ACAUUUUGUUCAUUCCCCUACAUGAGCUGGUGAAAGAUGGAAGGACAUGGUAUUUGCUGGAAAUGAAAACAUGGGGAAAGCUGUUGGAACCGACACCACUGUGUUCUUUUUGUCCCUUGCACAAGAAUAAAUGCUUCAUGGAAUAAAUGGUCCACAAGGUAGAAGUAAGUAGAUGAUUCUGACUGCCUACCUGACAAUGGUGGGGUUUAUACAAGAAUUUCAGGUACUUUGGUUAAGUCAGUACCCUAAGAAAGACUGUAAGUGGUAGAUGCAGCUACAAGAUGAAGGAACCUGAACGAUCCAUGAACAGAAGGAG